UUAGCUGAUUUCAAAGAUUGCAACAGCUGUUCAUGGGCUUUUAUCAAUGUGACUAUGUUCAAGAUGGAAAUGUUUUGUACUGGAAACGAUGUGUGGACAUCGACAAUGAAACCGGAAGUGUUUUUUUUAAUCAUUACUGCCGACGGGACAAUAAUGAGACCUAAUAGUCCCACCUUGGAGAGGCACACACUGACGGUGUGUGUGUGCUGCAGUAUGGUGGAUGGAGGGACCCCCUGAGCCACAGCAGCGUUCAUCACCCUGGCUCCGUCCAUGUGGACCGACAGACCAUAUCUAUCUGCCAAAGCACGAACCUUUGAAAUGGAAACAAACAUGGUCACACACACCUCCUGCAGGAAGGUCAGAGGCAGCACACGCCCUCCCUGUAUGUUGUGUGUGUUCUCCACACAUAUGAGGCGUGAGCGGGGGUAGUGGGGGUCGGGGUAACCGUGGCGGAUCUUCGAUUCUAAGCUGCUCUAUGUCAAAUGAUCCAUCGGGCAGAUUGUUCACCGUGGUGGCGUGGACACCAGCCAGCUGUGUCAACACACAAACACACACUGAAUGGAUGAACUGCAGAUGAUGAGGAAAGAAGUGCAGAGAGCCUGAACACAGGUGUCUGCUGCUCACUCACCUGUGCGCUGCCUCCUUGCUCGUAGAUGUGUAAAUGCGACAGAUCUCCCACAAUCAUCUCGUCGCCCCGCUCUCUGCAGUGCACCAUCACUGCAUAAUGAAAUUGGGGCACUUUUAUUAUGACCCCCUCCAACCUAAUAAAGACUGAUUCAGACACAAUAAAUACACAGCUCACCUGCGAUGAGAUUACUCAUGGUUCCAGAGGGAACGAACAGGGCGUCCUCCAUUUGAAAC